rnacentral:misc_RNA from 1 species
UCUCCGUAGGUGAACCUGCGGAGGGAUCAUUACAGAGUUCAUGCCCUACCGGGUAGAUCUCCCACCCUAUGUUAUUAUUACUUUGUUGCUUUGGCGGGCCGUUAGGCUCCGGCCCGACUACCGGCCCCGGCUGGUAAGCGCCCGCCAGAGGACCCAAAACCCUGAAUAUCAGUGUCGUCCGAGUACUAUAUAAUAGUUAAAACUUUCAACAACGGAUCUCUUGGUUCUG